UUUGGAUGGAAUGCUUCUCUUUUAAGAAACCUGCAUUGUCGAAUUCCAGCUACUGGAACGUGUUUUUGGGGAUUUGAAAUUCUGCCAAAUCCUGCAGCCCAGCCUGUGAGCGAGCGACUGUGGGUAAACGACAUUGCGCGUUCUAGAAAUCCUCGAGGCUGUGGAGGAGAGAGGCAGGGAGCCUGUGUGACAACAGGCAGGAAGGUGAAACCUGCACGAACGCCUCACACAGGCCGUGGCCUCAACUCCCAGCCCUGUUCCUCAGCGGCGUCCUGCUGGCAGGGCUGGGGGCGCAGGGAGAAACCUGUUUUUUUCCUGCAGGGACAGCACCUGAACUCCUGCUUUUCUUGCUUCUCCUCCUCCGUUUCCCGCGCCGGCCUUUCAGCAGGCUUGUCGCUGCUGGCUGGUGUCCCUCGCGGAGACGGCUCGCUUCUUCGCUGUUCGGGACAGUUGAUCAGAGCUGCCAGCGGACGUGGGACAUCUGCACGCCCAUUGCAGGGUCAGGAGGAGAAUGAAUCGUUGAACUGUGGGUAUUACAAUCUCCUGCCUGGCACCUGUUUCACCUUUAGCAUGAAGCAGCGAGUCCAUGCGGAUCUCUGUGCGACUGUAGGAGCUCAGACCCUUUGUCCAAACUGUAGCACCAAGGCAAGCAGAGCCAUACACAGAGUUGUGCCAGGUGCGUGCACGACAGGCUUUACAGGUGCCACACGCCAGCCGGAACCAGGCACCGUUCCUUCCGAGCUGGGCUGGGGCGUGCAGGCAGCGCGCGGGACGUCCUGCUGGCCGCAGGCAGGAAGGACAGGACGAAACCCCGGUUUGUGGGCUGAGGUGGGACAGGGCGGGCUUGGAAGGGAGAGGUCCGUGCCACUGCUCCGUGGUGCCGCUUGUCCUAGUGCCAAACGACGGGGUGGUCUAACCUGGGCUGGGAGGGUCGGGGGGUAUCGAUGAGCCCACGCACAGGGGGCAGUGGGUGAGGGCGCUUGGGCUUGUGAACCAGGCAGCACCAGAGCAGUGGUGGCCCCCUGAGCACCUCUCUCAGUACGAGGUGAAGAAGAACUGGGGGCUCCAGCCCAGGGGUCCUCAGUGUGGACCCUGCUCUCCAGUCACCUUGAACAUCCCCAGGUUCUCCGAGGUCUCUGUGGGCUGUGAGCGGGACAGAUCCCCCACCUCCACUCUCUGGCCUGGGACUUCUCCAUGGCUGGUGUGAAACUAACACCACAUGGGGACCCCAAAAUUGCACAAGCUGCAGUCUGUGGGCCAGAGGGCUUCAGGGUAGCCGGGAGCUGGCAGUUUCUCGGUGACCAUGUACGAAACACAUCUCAAAGUCCAGUUUGCUCUCCGCGUUUUGCUAUCAGUGCAGUCGGUCCCCAAGACAAAUGCUCUUAAUGUGUCUGUGUUUACCCCAGUGUUAAACUUAAUGAAGGUCUGGCAUCGCUGGAAAAGGUUGUUUUUUUUUUCAUUCUACGUCCUGUUUGCUCUCCCUGUUGUGAAAGAAAGACAAAGAAAAUCUUGUUGCACAGAAGCACUUAAUGAAGGAGGUGGGGUGGGGGGGGGUUGGUAGGGGAACAGACACAGUACAUAGAAACAGCCGAGUCCUGUCUUCUCUCCCCACCCCUGCUCUUUAAUUACACUACGAGCUUGAUGGCACGGAGUAACACAGCUGUUCCUAUUGAUCCGAUGUCAGUCACACCGAGAUUUCAUUUUGGAUGCUGUUUGUGUUUCAGUGGCUUACCAGUAGCAGGUCCGGUUUGCAAUGGGUCUUGCUUGAGAUUUCGUUGUUUUAGGGCGUGAUGCUGCCAGUCCGAGGCGACAGUAUUGUGCAGACAUGAGCUCUGCGCUAGAUGCCCAGUGCUGUAGGGGUCAGCGGUAGUGUCUUUUUUUAACCAAAGACACAGGCCUGAGGCAUGCUGUGAAAGGGACAGUGUUGCUGCAGUAAAUCUCUGUUGGGUUUUUGUAUUAUCCUCCUGGGUUUUCCUGUUUUCCUCCUACAGCUCACAAUAAUUCACCAUCAUAGCUUCUUUUGUGCACAAUUCUCUAUAAUCCUGUGCGGGUUUACCAAAGCUUUUCUAAAGCUGCUUUCUGGUCUGCCACACCUGGUUUUAAAGGCCUGAUGACCUUUUGACCUGCUGUCCACUAAGCCUCAGCUUCAAGGCCUUAAAUCAAUACCUGUGCACUGCUGAGGCUGUACUGUUCAUCAAGGCAUUGGGCCUCACAGCUGGGUCACUGGGACAGGGCUGUGCACAGCUGAACUGAAACUGGGUGGAUGUCUAAGACAGACAAAGCCCCACCUCACUAAAUCAGAAACUAUACUACAGGACAAAAAAAACGCCUUUUUAUGCCUUAAAUAAGUCUGUGUUUACUGUUAAAGUCGUGGACGUUUUUUUUUUCUUUUUUAACUGAAGGAUAAUUGAUUUUUUUAAAUGUCUCAUCCUGCUCAUGUGGUUCUGUGACAGGUUGGAGGAGUUCCUUUCACAUUUUGUAUAUCAACGGAGCAUCGUCUUGUCGUCAUUUCAAAACCGGGUCUGAAGUCUUGC
rnacentral:lncRNA from 1 species